GAUGAACGCUAGCGGCAGGCUUAACACAUGCAAGUCGAGGGGCAGCACGGGUAGCGAUAUCUGGUGGCGACCGGCGCAAGGGUGCGUAACGCGUGAGCAACAUGCCCGUAUCAGGGGGAUAAUCCAGGGAAACUUGGUCUAAUACCCCAUAGCAAUUACUGGAGGCAUCUUUAGUAAUUUAAAGCUUUGGUGGAUACGGAUUGGCUCGCGUGACAUUAGCUAGAUGGUAAGGUAACGGCUUACCAUGGCUACGAUGUCUAGGGGUUCUGAGAGGAAGAUCCCCCACACUGGAACUGAGACACGGUCCAGACUCCUACGGGAGGCAGCAGUGAGGAAUAUUGGACAAUGGAUGGAAAUCUGAUCCAGCCAUGCCGCGUGCAGGAAGACGGCCCUAUGGGUUGUAAACUGCUUUUGUAUGGGAGCAAUAAGGUCUAUGCGUAGACUGAUGAGAGUACCAUACGAGUAAGCAUCGGCUAACUCCGUGUCAGCAGCCGCGGUAAUACGGGGGAUGCAAGCGUCAUCCGGAUUUAUUGGGUUUAAAGGGUGCGUAGGCGGUUUGAUAAGUCAGCGGUGAAAUAUUUCAGCUUAACUGAAAGGGUGCCGUUGAUACUGUCAGGCUUGAACAUGGUUGCUGUGGGUGGAAUGUGUGGUGUAGCGGUGAAAUGCUUAGAUAUCACACAGUAUAUCGAUUGCGAAGGCAGCUCACAAAGCCAUUAUUGACGCUGAUGCACGAAAGUGUGGGGAUCAAACA
rnacentral:rRNA from 1 species